CAUGCGGUGACGUAAUCAUCGCAAGCACCGCCCACGCCUCGAGAGCGCCUCAGCGGAGCCCAGUUUGGGAGGAAAUCCUGAAGUAAAAAGUGCAGAUUUUCAGCUCCCGGACCCUGCGGACACUCCGGACACCACCGGACACCGCGGACACUCCGGACACUCCGGACACUCCGGACACUCCCAGACACUCCCGGACA